GGGGAUGUGGCUCAAGCAGUAGCGCACUCGCCUGGUAUGCGAGCGGCCUGGGUUUGAUCCUCAGCAUCACAU
rfam:Ictidomys tridecemlineatus contig049824, whole genome shotgun sequence.